UACAGAGGGGGCAAGCGUUGUUCGGAAUUACUGGGCGUAAAGGGCGCGUAGGCGGCUCGGCACGUCCGUUGUGAAAUCGCCCGGCUCAACUGGGCGGGGUCGGCGGAUACGGCCGAGCUGGAGCAAGCUAGGGGGUAAUGGAAUUCCCGGUGUAGUGGUGGAAUGCGUAGAUAUCGGGAGGAACACCAGUGGCGAAGGCGGUUACCUGGAGCUUUGCUGACGCUGAUGCGCGAAAGCGUGGGGAGCGAGUCCGG
rnacentral:rRNA from 1 species